GGGGUGAUUCUUUUUUCCUACCUUUACAAUUUGGUUUUUUAAAUCUUUUUUGUUUUAUUGAUCCUGGUUGUGCAACCGAAAACUCCAAGGGCCCUUGAAUGGCUCAUGGCAAAUCUGGUGAUGAGUCACAGGUGUGUGUGUGAUCAAGGCGGGUUGGAGUUUUUGAUCCUUUAAAAAGGAUGAACAGCUGGACUUGGAGCAGGAAAAAAGAGGCGCACCACAAGAGCUGCACAAGCAGUGUUGGAAUACCAGCGAUGGGAGCCACACGCGUGGUGUUUUGGAGCACCAGGACGGAGGCUGCACGUGUGGUGUUUUGCAGCAGCAGCAGCAGCAGCGGUUGUGGUGCUUGAAGCAUGCCAGCCCCAGGAAUUGGACAUUGUAGAGUCUGGGCUCGGCCACAUGACUGGGACAGCAAAGUGGAACCAGUGGACCAUGGAACUGGAAAGUGGAGAGGGGACGCGACGAACAACAGCAGAGGGGUGUGGUUGCGACCCACCCCUCUUUCAGAUAAAUGGGGUUUGGACUGCAUGCUCCUCUAAUCAUCCUGGAGCAUUUGGACUGCUGGAGGCCGGACACUAUAGGACUGGACACAAUAAACAUUUUGAAAACUUGCA